AGGCUCUGAGGCUCAGCCACUUUGUAGUUGAUCUAGCUGGGUCAAGAUACUACUCUCUGUCUCUGUCUCUGCCUCUGUUUCUGUCUCUCUGUCUGUCUCUCUCUCCCCCCUUACACACACACACACACAUACACACACACACACACACACACGUGUUAGUGACUUGAAUCUUUCCAGCUGUAAGGGUUUGAGUGUAUUUAUGGUUCCUGUGCUUAACCUCUCUAUUUUCUAACACUUGUCAGGAUGAGGACUCAAGAUCUACUCAUUUCAUCAAGUACUUAGCACCCUCAGCUCCAGCCAGCACCACCCUCAGCUCCAGCCAGCACCAUCCUCAGCUCCAGCCAGCACCACCCUCAGCUCCAGCCAGCACCACCAUGUCUGCCUACACAGUGCGAUGCUCCCCACCAUGAUGGACUGAACCUCUGAGCUGCACUGGAGGUCUACAGGCGAGGAUACAGUUCUGAGCAGUAAGAGACAACAAAGACUGGCAUGGCGUAUGUGGACAAAAGUGACAAGAAAAGCCUCCCCAGAUCACAUUGAGCUGGACUUGGAAGGACACACCACGUUUUGCCAAAUAGAGAAGAAAGCAAGCACAGAAGGGGAAGGUCAAAAUUAAUUGGAAACUUAGGCUGUCAAAUUAAAGAU